GGUGGCCCCAGCUCCCUAUCCUCUGCAGGGCACAGCUCAGUGUCACAGCUCCCUGUCCCCUGUGGGGCACAGCUCAGUGUCACAGCUCCCUGUCCAUGCAGGGCACAGCUCAGUGUCACAGCUCCCUGUCCUCUGUGGGGCAUCACUCAGUGUCACAGCUCCCUGUCCUCUGUGGGGCACAGGACAGGGUCCCACAGGCCUGGCUCCAGCUCUUUGCCUUGUUAGUAAAUUCUCGUUUGGAAUAAACACGGUUUAUUUGGA